AGUGAACGCUGGCGGUAGGCCUAACACAUGCAAGUCGAACGGCAGCACAGGAGAGCUUGCUCUCUGGGUGGCGAGUGGCGGACGGGUGAGGAAUACAUCGGAAUCUACUUUUUCGUGGGGGAUAACGUAGGGAAACUUACGCUAAUACCGCAUACGACCUACGGGUGAAAGCAGGGGACCUUCGGGCCUUGCGCGAUUGAAUGAGCCGAUGUCGGAUUAGCUAGUUGGCGGGGUAAAGGCCCACCAAGGCGACGAUCCGUAGCUGGUCUGAGAGGAUGAUCAGCCACACUGGAACUGAGACACGGUCCAGACUCCUACGGGAGGCAGCAGUGGGGAAUAUUGGACAAUGGGCGCAAGCCUGAUCCAGCCAUACCGCGUGGGUGAAGAAGGCCUUCGGGUUGUAAAGCCCUUUUGUUGGGAAAGAAAUCCAGCUGGCUGAUACCCGGUUGGGAUGACGGUACCCAAAGAAUAAGCACCGGCUAACUUCGUGCCAGCCGCCGCCGUAA
rnacentral:rRNA from 1 species